AACGAACGCUGGCGGCAUGCCUAACACAUGCAAGUCGAACGAGACCUUCGGGCUUAGUGGCGCACGGGUGCGUAACGCGUGGGAACCUGCCCUUAGGUUCGGAAUAACUCCCCGAAAGGGGUGCUAAUACCGGUUAAUGUCUUUGGACCAAAGAUUUAUCGCCUUUGGAUGGGCCCGCGUUGGAUUAGCUAGUUGGUAGGGUAAAAGCCUACCAAGGCGACGAUCCAUAGCUGGUCUGAGAGGAUGAUCAGCCACACUGGGACUGAGACACGGCCCAGACUCCUACGGGAGGCAGCAGUGGGGAAUAUUGGACGUUGGACGAUAGCCUGAUCCAGCAGUGCCGCGUAAGUGAUGAAGGCCUUAGGAUUGUAAAGCUCUUUUACACGGGAUGAUAAUGACAGUACCGGGAGAAUAAGCGCCGGCUAACUCCGUG
rnacentral:rRNA from 1 species